UACGGUAGGGUGCAAGCGUUAAUCGGAAUACUGGGCGUAAAGCGUGCGCAGGCGGUGAUGUAAGACAGAUGUGAAAUCCCCGGGCUCAACCUGGGAACUGCAUUUGUGACUGCAUCGCUGGAGUACGGCAGAGGGGGAUGGAAUUCCGCGUGUAGCAGUGAAAUGCGUAGAUAUGCGGAGGAACACCGAUGGCGAAGGCAAUCCCCUGGGCCUGUACUGACGCUCAUGCACGAAAGCGUGGG
rnacentral:rRNA from 1 species